AGCUAUUGCAUUUCCCUGGGGCCUGGGGAGGCUGUGCCUUGAAUGUGGAUUUCUCAAAGUGGCUUCAUGCGGUGGCCCUGAGUGGGGCCAGGGCUCAGCC
ensembl:miRNA